rnacentral:rRNA from 1 species
AGUUUGAUCCUGGCUCAGAGUGAACGCUGGCGGCAGGCCUAACACAUGCAAGUCGAACGGCAGCACAGGGGAGCUUGCUCCCUGGGUGGCGAGUGGCGGACGGGUGAGGAAUGCAUCGGAAUCUGCCCAGUCGUGGGGGAUAACGUAGGGAAACUUACGCUAAUACCGCAUACGACCUGAGGGUGAAAGUGGGGGCUCGCAAGACCUCACGCGAUUGGAUGAGCCGAUGCCGGAUUAGCUAGUUGGUGGGGUAAAGGCCCACCAAGGCGACGAUCCGUAGCUGGUCUGAGAGGAUGAUCAGCCACACUGGGACUGAGACACGGCCCAGACUCCUACGGGAGGCAGCAGUGGGGAAUAUUGGACAAUGGGCGCAAGCCUGAUCCAGCCAUGCCGCGUGUGUGAAGAAGGCCUUCGGGUUGUAAAGCACUUUUGUACGGGAAGAAAAGCGUCGGGUUAAUACCC